AUGCAGUAUAUCCCUGCAAACUCCUCCACUCCUCCGACCACCGGAUCCGGGGUGGGCAACAGACCACAGAGAGGUCAACUAGAAACUCUCAGCGGGGAGGGUGCGAACGGUGCCCCCGGGGUGCGUUGGAGGCCCCGGAGCUGCUCGAGCUCCUCUCCCUGUGCCAGGUGUCCUGGUGCCCCGCAAGUUCCAGUGCCGGAGCUCCCAGGCCCCCGGCCCCNGGACCCCGUGGUGGAGCCGGGGGCGCCUCCCGGGGCACCCGCUCCCUGCCGCCCCCGGCGCGGUGCAGGGGACGCUCGGAGCCGGCGGGGUGGGUGCGGUGUCUCUGCCCCCGUGGCGGGGGACGCCGCAGCGCUGCCAGUUGCAGCAGCAGGAGCAGCACAAGUUAAUCAUUCAUACUGUCUCAUCUCAGAAUGCUGUGGAACUAGAGCUGAUCCUGUGCUUAUGACGAGUGGUUCUUCCGUUAAGCUGAUGGCUGCAUUUGCACAAAAAGCAUUGCAGAAGAUUGAUGUGGCAGCAAGAACAAGUGGCAUAGGGAAGGAAGAGAACUGUCUAGAUCAAUAUUGCCACUGGAAAAAAUGUAGUAUGGAAAUGCAUUCUGACUUGCAACUAAAGAAGAAAGGAUAAAAGCCUUUGGUGAAUUAAAAUAUGAUGAAUUAAAAUAUCUGCAAUACGUAUGGAUAACAAAACAGAAAUCAGACCUGUUCCAAAAUAGGAAAUAUUAAUAAAUAUCACUAUAUAACUGAUAAAUAUUAUAUA
rnacentral:lncRNA from 1 species